UUAACUGAGGGACGCCGUCCAAUACUGCAGGACUUGAGGGCAGCAGAGGGAGCUGGAAUUCCCGGUGUAACGGUGAAAUGCGUAGAGAUCGGGAGGAACACCAGUGGCGAAGGCGGCCUCCUGGGCUGCUUCUGACGCUGAAUGCGAAAGCUAGGGUAGCGAACGGGAUUAGAAACCCCGGUAGUCCUAGCUGUAAACGAUGGAUGCUAGGUGUAGGAGGUAUAGAUCCCUUCUGUGCCGAAGCUAACGCGAUAAGCAUCCCGCCUGGGGACUACGGCCGCAAGGCUAAAACUCAAACGAAUUGACGGGGGCCCGCACAAGCAGCGGAGCGUGUGGUUUAAUUCGAUGCUACACGAAGAACCUUACCUGGGUUUGACAUGUAGGUAGUAGUGAAGCGAAAGCGGAACGACCCUUCGGGGAGCCUACACAGGUGCUGCAUGGCUGUCGUCAGCUCGUGCCGUGAGGUGUCGGGUUAAGUCCCGUAACGAGCGCAACCCCUGUCCUUAGUUACAAGUGUCUAAGGAGACUGCCGGCGACAAGCCGGAGGAAGGUGGGGAUGACGUCAAGUCAGCAUGGCCUUUAUGUCCAGGGCUACACACACGCUACAAUGGCCGGUACAAUGGGUUGCCAAGCCGUGAGGCGGAGCUAAUCCCCCAAAGCCGGUCUCAGUUCGGAUUGUGGGCUGCAACUCGCCCACAUGAAGUUGGAGUUGCUAGUAACCGCAGGUCAGCUAUACUGCGGUGCCUACGUUCCCGGGCCUUGUACACACCGCCCGUCACGUCAUGGAAGUCAGUAAC
rnacentral:rRNA from 1 species